GGAGAAACAAACCCGGCGUCUACAGUCGAGUUACGGAGCUGAUCAGCUGGGUGGAAAGAUAUAUAGAGGACAAACCAGAGGAGCUGGAGGAGACAAUCACCUUCAUCACCGACACUCGAAACUGAGACAAGUGACAAUAAAGACGUGAAUCAA